rnacentral:rRNA from 1 species
UACGGGGGGAGCAAGCGUUGUUCGGAUUUACUGGGCGUAAAGGGCGCGUAGGCGGCCAGCACAAGUCGGUUGUGAAAUCUCCGAGCUUAACUCGGAAAGGUCAACUGAUACUGGUUGGCUUGAAUCCGGGAGAGGGAUGUGGAAUUCCAGGUGUAGCGGUGAAAUGCGUAGAUAUCUGGAGGAACACCGGUGGCGAAGGCGACAUCCUGGACCGGUAUUGACGCUGAGGCGCGAAAGCCAGGGGAGCAAACGGG